GACGAACGCUGGCGGCGUGCUUAGCACAUGCAAGUCGAACGCUGAAGCUCAGCUUUUGUUGGGUGGAUGAGUGGCGAACGGGUGAGUAACACGUGAGUAACCUGCCUCCUUCUUUGGGAUAACGCCCGGAAACGGGUGCUAAUACUGGAUAUUCACUGGUCUUCGCAUGGGGGUUGGUGGAAAGGGUUUUUCUGGUGGGGGAUGGGCUCGCGGCCUAUCAGCUUGUUGGUGGGGUGAUGGCCUACCAAGGCUUUGACGGGUAGCCGGCCUGAGAGGGUGACCGGUCACAUUGGGACUGAGAUACGGCCCAGACUCGUACGGGAGGCAGCAGUGGGGAAUAUUGCACAAUGGGCGCAAGCCUGAUGCAGCGACGCCGCGUGAGGGAUGGAGGCCUUCGGGUUGUGAACCUCUUUCGCUCAUGGUCAAGCCGCAACAAUGGUUGUGGUGAGGGUAGUGGGUAAAGAAGCGCCGGCUAACUACGUG
rnacentral:rRNA from 1 species